rnacentral:rRNA from 1 species
GGGUGUGAUCAUACCAACACUAAUGCACCGGAUUUCAUCAUAACUCCGGAGUUAAGAGGACUAGGAUGGGUGACCUCCUGAAAAGUCCUCGUGUUGUACCUU